GCGACCCCAGGAUGGGCGGGGCCACCCGCCG
rnacentral:rRNA from 1 species